AGAGUUCGCCAGACAAUCGCCGCCCUAAUCUCUUGAGUGCAGGGGGGAGGAAAGUCCGGGCUCCAGCAGGGCAGGGUGCCAGGUAACGCCUGGGGGGCGCAAGCCUACGGAAAGUGCAGCAGAGAGCAGACCGCCUAAGUUUUUUAUUUUCGGAUAGAAAACCGGUAAGGGUGAAAGGGUGCGGUAAGAGCGCACCGCGUGAGUGGCAACACUUCAUGGCAUGGUAAACCCCACCUGGAGCAAGACCAAAUAGGAAUCCAUUAAGGUGUGGCCCACACUGGAUUCGGGUAGGUCGCUUGAGAUCUGUGGCGACGCAGGUCCUAGAUGAAUGAUUGUCCACGACAAAACCCGGCUUAUCGGCGAGCUCUACAG
rnacentral:RNase_P_RNA from 1 species